rnacentral:rRNA from 1 species
CACGUAGGGUGCGAGCGUUGUCCGGAAUUACUGGGCGUAAAGGGCGCGUAGGCGGCCUCUUAAGUCGAACGUGAAAUCCCCGGGCUCAACCCGGGAACUGCGUCCGAUACUGGGAGGCUUGAAUCCGGGAGAGGGAUGUGGAAUUCCAGGUGUAGCGGUGAAAUGCGUAGAUAUCUGGAGGAACACCGGUGGCGAAGGCGGCAUCCUGGACCGGUAUUGACGCUGAGGCGCGAAAGCUAGGGGAGCAAACGGG